AGUGAACGCUGGCGGUAGGCCUAACACAUGCAAGUCGAACGGCAGCACAGUAAGAGCUUGCUCUUACGGGUGGCGAGUGGCGGACGGGUGAGGAAUACAUCGGAAUCUACUUUUUCGUGGGGGAUAACGUAGGGAAACUUACGCUAAUACCGCAUACGACCUACGGGUGAAAGCAGGGGAUCUUCGGACCUUGCGCGAUUGAAUGAGCCGAUGUCGGAUUAGCUAGUUGGCGGGGUAAAGGCCCACCAAGGCGACGAUCCGUAGCUGGUCUGAGAGGAUGAUCAGCCACACUGGAACUGAGACACGGUACACACUCUUACGGGAGGCAGCAGUGGGGAAUAUUGGACAAUGGGCGCAAGCCUGAUCCAGCCAUACCGCGUGGGUGAAGAAGGCCUUCGGGUUGUAAAGCCCUUUUGUUGGGAAAGAAAAGCAGCAGGUUAAUACCCCGCUGUUCUGACGGUACCCAAAGAAUAAGCACCGGCUAACUUCGUG
rnacentral:rRNA from 1 species